rnacentral:rRNA from 1 species
AGUGAACGCUGGCGGUAGGCCUAACACAUGCAAGUCGAACGGCAGCACAGUAAGAGCUUGCUCUUACGGGUGGCGAGUGGCGGACGGGUGAGGAAUACAUCGGAAUCUACUUUUUCGUGGGGGAUAACGUAGGGAAACUUACGCUAAUACCGCAUACGACCUACGGGUGAAAGCAGGGGAUCUUCGGACCUUGCGCGAUUGAAUGAGCCGAUGUCGGAUUAGCUAGUUGGCGGGGUAAAGGCCCACCAAGGCGACGAUCCGUAGCUGGUCUGAGAGGAUGAUCAGCCACACUGGAACUGAGACACGGCCCAGACUCCUACGGGAGGCAGCAGUGGGGAAUAUUGGACAAAGGGCGCAAGCCUGAUCCAGCCAUACCGCGUGGGUGAAGAAGGCCUUCGGGUUGUAAAGCCCUUUUGUUGGGAAAGAAAAGCAGCAGGUUAAUACCCCGCUGUUCUGACGGUACCCAAAGAAUAAGCACCGGCUAACUUCGUG